GAAUCUUUAAGCUAUUUUUGGAAUCAGCGCGCUGCGCUAUUUGCAUUGCUCUCCUUUUAUCAGCAUUGCWCUGCUUUUAUCAAAAUUUCGCAAAAAAAUGCCUCGUUUAAGAGGGCAUUGAGGACAAGCACGAUGCGCAGCGGAAUGUUUUACCAAUUCCCAAGUGCUUCCUAACUUCGCACAGCACAGCAAGSAAGUUUCUUWUUUUUUUUUACUACAUAACGAAAGAAGGCGUUAUUUUGGACACGAAGGACGAAAUGGAAAGUGUGCUAAAAUGUUCAGAAGAAAGAGGUGGGAUUCGCGCAUAUUUUUAUGUGUUCUAAUCGACUGCGUUUCUAUGAUUUGAAUUAAAAUGUGAUAUAACAACAAUGUUGUGCGCAAAAUACCGAUUAGGACUUGCGCGCUUAUAAAGGGCACUCUUUAAAAAAUACUCCUUUCCCAAUUUCGCUUGGAUGACCACGAAACAAUGGUUUGAAGUUGAGACUGUUCUUGACUCUUAUUCAUCAAGUUCAACCUCGACUUGAAACCAUUGUUUAGUGACCCUGACUGACCUCUGGCUAUUGACGGCACUAUUACUAUAAGUGAGGUAAGGAAUUUUAGAUGGUGGUGGUGGUGGUGGUAAUGGUGAUCAUGAUCAUGAUCAUGAUGGUUAAUAAUUAUUAUGUAAUGAUGAUGAUAACAAUGGUGGUGAAGAGGAUGGUGGUUGAUGAUGGGGAUGAUGAUAAUGAUGCUAACAAUGUUGAUGAUAACAAUGUUGAUGAUUGUGUGAUUACAGACGCUACAUAAUGCCCUGGACUGUAUGUACGACGCACGGACCCCAAAACACUGGAAAAAGAUUUCCUGAAAGUCUUCCACUCUGGGCUUCUGGUUUACGGAGCUUAUAGAGCGCAAUGCCCAGUUCCGUUCCUGGUGUUUUCAUGGUCACCCUUAUGUGUUCUGGAUGACUGGAUUCUAAUCCUCAGGGAUUCUUAACAGCCAUGAGACAGGAACUCACAAAGGCUGGGCACUUGACUGCGUAGUCCUACACAAUGACGUCACUCGGUUCUUCAAAGAUGACAUCACAAGUCCCCCAAAUGAAGAUGUUUACGUGCAUGGAUUUUACCUAGACGGAACAGGAUGGGAUCGACGAGGCUGAAAGCUGCUACCUGCACCUAAAGUCCUCUUCAUUUCUAUCCCCGUGGUUCGUAUUUAUGCGAUCAACUCUACCGGUGGUAGGAACAAUCGAUUGUACCAUUGUCCUAUUUAAAAGAAGCAGCGACGCACGGACCUGACGCAUAUUACCUGCGUGGACCUGAAGACCAAUCAGAACCCAGAUCACUGGAUACUGCGCUGAGUGACUUUACUAUAUGAUAUAAGACAAAAGCACUUAUUGAUAGAGAUCAUAUAGAGAUUUUUGAUAGCUUUAUAGAUAGUUUAUGAACAUCUCCCUCGUUAUAUUAUAGACCAGUUUUCGCACAAUGACACGUAUGACUAAAAAAAGCUCACGGCAAGGCAUGCGCCCGACCAAUCACGUUGCGCAAGAAAAAAAUCAACCAAUCAAAACCUAUAAAACAUCAUGGUCGUGGCAAGACAUGCAUACGAUUCCGAGCUUUUCACAGUCAUACGAAAACUGCUUUAUCAGGACGCGUUUUACUGAGACGCGCCGAUAUACCGCCUGUGCAGAUCAUAUCUCUAUGCGCACCGUCUUUCCAUUUAGCAGUCAAUCCUCAAUCCCUAAUGGGCUAUGGACUCAUAGGCCAUGAGGGCGAGAGGACUAAUCGUUUUAGUCAAAUCCAACUAAUCGGUCAAAGUUAUAGAUGCAAACAAGAUUUAAAUCAAAGUUCAAUUUAGUGUUUUGGUUUUCACAGCCGGCACUUUUCGCUACUUAUAGCGUAGUGAUAGCUCGUCCAAUCAGAAUGCUGCAUUGAUGAUAGACCACAAGUUGGAUUUGACUAAAACAUGCUAGUCUGUAUUACCUUGGCGAUAGGGUCAUUCCGACAUAGAAAUGGUUUCGUCGAAUACAAAGAACAUUGAAUCAGUCUCACUACUAAGGUCCCUGUUCUUAACGAGAAUAAGAAGCAGAAACACAAGUCAUUCCAGCUAGUCUUGGAUAUUGGAAUGACCUAUCGCUUUUCGCCUAUCGCCUUUAGCGAUGACAACAUUUUUUUAAA